rnacentral:rRNA from 1 species
GAUGAACGCUGGCGGCGUGCCUAAUACAUGCGAGUCGAGCGAACAGAUGAGGAGCUUGCUCCUCUGACGUUAGCGGCGGACGGGUGAGUAACACGUGGAUAACCCACCUAUAAGACUGGGAUAACUUCGGGAAACCGGAGCUAAUACCGGAUAAUAUAUUGAACCGCAUGGUUCAAUAGUGAAAGACGGUUUUGCUGUCACUUAUAGAUGGAUCCGCGCCGCAUUAGCUAGUUGGUAAGGUAACGGCUUACCAAGGCAACGAUGCGUAGCCGACCUGAGAGGGUGAUCGGCCACACUGGAACUGAGACACGGUCCAGACUCCUACGGGAGGCAGCAGUAGGGAAUCUUCCGCAAUGGGCGAAAGCCUGACGGAGCAACGCCGCGUGAGUGAUGAAGGUCUUCGGAUCGUAAAACUCUGUUAUUAGGGAAGAACAAAUGUGUAAGUAACUAUGCACGUCUUGACGGUACCUAAUCAGAAAGCCACGGCUAACUACGUG